CCUACGGGAGGCAGCAGUGAGGAAUAUUGGUCAAUGGGCGGAAGCCUGAACCAGCCAAGUCGCGUGAGGGAAUAAGGCCCUACGGGUCGUAAACCUCUUUUUCCGGGGAGCAAGGGCGGGGACGUUUCCCGGCCCGGAGAGUCCCCGGAGAAAACGCAUCGGCUAACUCCGUGCCAGCCGCCGCGGUAAUACGGAGGAUGCGCGCGUUACCCGGAUUUAUUGGGUUUAAAGGGCGCGUAGGCGGGCUUUUAAGUCAGCGGUAAAAAUUCGGGGCUCAACCCCGUCCGGCCGUUGAAACUGGGGGCCGUGAGUGGGCGAGAAGAAGGCGGAAUGCGUGGUGUAGCGGUGAAAUGCAUAGAUAUCACGCAGAACCCCGAUUGCGAAGGCAGCCUUCCGGCGCCCUACUGACGCUGAGGCACGAAAGUGCGGGGAUCGAACAGGAUUAGAUACCCUGGUAGUC
rnacentral:rRNA from 1 species